GCUGUGAUGGCCGAGUGGUUAAGGCGUUGGACUCGAAAUCCAAUGGGGUUUCCCCGCGCAGGUUCAAACCCUGCUCGCAGCG
rnacentral:tRNA from 1 species